rnacentral:rRNA from 1 species
UACGUAGGGUGCAAGCGUUAAUCGGAAUUACUGGGCGUAAAGCGUGCGCAGGCGGCUUUGCAAGACAGAUGUGAAAUCCCCGGGCUAAACCUGGGAACUGCAUUUGUGACUGCAUGGCUGGAGUGCGGCAGAGGGGGAUGGAAUUCCGCGUGUAGCAGUGAAAUGCGUAGAUAUGCGGAGGAACACCGAUGGCGAAGGCAGUCCCCUGGGCCUGCACUGACGCUCAUGCACGAAAGCGUGGGGAGCAAACAGG